AACGCACCUUGCGCUCCUUGGUAUUCCGAGGAGCAUGCCUGUUUGAGUGUCAUUAAAUUCUCAACCAUUCUGAUUUAUUUUGGAAUGGCUUGGAUGUGGGGGUUUUGCAGGCUUUCUUCGAUGAAGGUCAGCUCUCCUGAAAUACAUUAGCGGUACCCUUGUGGAAUCGUCUAUUGGUGUGAUAAUUAUCAACGCCGUGGACAUCUACUAAUUGCUGCUUCUAACUGUCCAUCUGGACAAAUCAUAAUGACAAUUUUGACCUCAAAUCAGGUAGGACUACCCGCUGAACUUAA
rnacentral:misc_RNA from 1 species